UACGGAGGGUGCAAACGUUGCUCGGAAUUACUGGGCGUAAAGCGCACGUAGGCGGCUUGUUAAGUCGGGGGUGAAAUCCUGGAGCUCAACUCCAGAACUGCCUUCGAUACUGGCGAGCUCGAGUUCGGGAGAGGUGAGUGGAACUGCGAGUGUAGAGGUGAAAUUCGUAGAUAUUCGCAAGAACACCAGUGGCGAAGGCGGCUCACUGGCCCGAUACUGACGCUGAGGUGCGAAAGCGUGGGGAGCAAACAGG
rnacentral:rRNA from 1 species